ACUCCUACGGGAGGCAGCAGUGGGGAAUCUUAGACAAUGGGGGAAACCCUGAUCUAGCCAUGCCGCGUGAGCGAUGAAGGCCUUAGGGUUGUAAAGCUCUUUCAGCUGGGAAGAUAAUGACGGUACCAGCAGAAGAAGCCCCGCUACUCCGUGCCAGCAGCCGCGGUAAUACGGAGGGGCGUAGCGUUGUUCGGAAUUACUGGGCGU
rnacentral:rRNA from 1 species